CCUACGGGUGGCAGCAGUGAGGAAUAUUGGUCAAUGGGCGCGAGCCUGAACCAGCCAAGUAGCGUGAAGGAUGACGGCCCUACGGGGUGUAAACUUCUUUUAUAAAGGAAUAAAGUGAGGCACGUGUGCCUUUUUGUAUGUACGUUAUGAAUAAGGAUCGGCUAACUCCGUGCCAGCAGCCGCGGUAAUACGGAGGCUCCGAGCGUUAUCCGGAUUGAUGGGGUUUAAAGGGAGCGUAGAUGGGUUGUUAAGUCAGUUUUGAAAGUUUGCGGCUCCACCGUAUAAUUGCCAUUGAUACUGGCAGCCUUGAGUACAGUUGAGGUCGGCGGCAUUCGUGGUGUAGCGGUGACAUGCUUCGCUAUCACG
rnacentral:rRNA from 1 species